ACAACAUGCUUUCCAUGUGGCUGGAAAUAGCCCUCCAUGCCCCUGCUCCUCAUUAAUGAAGGAUAUUCCAUCUUCCCCAAUCCGCUCAUCUUCUUCUUCUUCAGCUGGCUGUUCCAUAAUCAUUUCCAUGACAACUUAUAAUGAUGUCACAGACAAAGCAUGAUGAUUUAAGAAUAAGAGUUCUACUUUGGUAGACUUAGGUAGCUUUGAGUAUAAUUAUCUUCACUAAUAAUAGGGGAAACAGGAGAUGAGAGGCCAAAAAUCAGAAUAGCUAGCCGGUUGCCAUUCUCUAGGAGGAGCCGAUCUGUUGUACCUUCUAUGCAAAUAAUGAGGCAGCCAGGCCAGGGUGAUAAGAACACACACAAAAAGCCAGCAGCAGCCAAAGGGCAGUGAGACCAGCUAUGCAGCACGGCCAGCCUUGCUGCCAGCAGAUUACUGCAAGAGGCAGUGCUAAGAAGGAUGAGCUGCUGAAGUUUCCUACGAGCUCCCUUUUCCGUGACCUAUAUUGGAAGGUCAUCCUGUGCUGGACAUCUUGGACACUAUCACAGGGUUAGGAGAGCAGCCAGUUGGAAGACUAAGUGGAAAACCUGCCUUGAAAAAUAA